rnacentral:rRNA from 1 species
UACGGGGGGGGCAAGCGUUGUUCGGAAUUACUGGGCGUAAAGGGCUCGUAGGCGGCCAACUAAGUCGGAUGUGAAAUCCCCAAGCUUAACUUGGGAACUGCAUCCGAUACUGGAUGGCUUGAAUCCGGGAGAGGGAUGCAGAAUUCCAGGUGUAGCGGUGAAAUGCGUAGAUAUCUGGAGGAACACCUAUUGCGAAGGCAGCUCGCUGGGACGUAACUGACGCUGAGACGCGAAAGCGUGGGGAGCAAACAGG